UACGUAGGUGGCAAGCGUUGUCCGGAAUUAUUGGGCGUAAAGCGUGUGUAGGCGGAUCCGUAAGUACCUUGUGAAAUCCCACGGCUCAACCGUGGAACUGCUGGGUAUACUGCGGGUCUUGAGCCACCUAGGGGCGAGCGGAACAAGUGGUGGAGCGGUGAAAUGCGUAGAUAUCACUUGGAACGCCAAUGGUGAAAACAGCUCGCUGGGGGUGUGCUGACGCUGAGACACGAAAGCCAGGGGAGCAAACGGG
rnacentral:rRNA from 1 species